GCGCAUCUUCGUUCAAGGAGACGACCACCGUUGUCACAUUGCUCCGGGCGCAGCCUGGUGGCCGGCUAAAAGAGAUAGGUAGUUGGAAAAGCGCUGGGAGCAAUAUGACAGUCCUCACUUCCGGCCGCUGAUGUCAUAUUGGCCGGGGCCCGUCAGUGCAUGUGCAAACUCGCCUCUUUUCCGCUGAACACGGUCUGCUCCUCUCCGGAGACAAAUCCAUGUAAUCCAGAAUCUGCGAGGCUUCCCACGGUAUUUUGUCUCGAAGAAAAGCACACCGGAUUCAGCGUCCAAGUUCGAAAUCCGCUCGUCCCCGGCCAAGGCCAGGGACCCCUUCGAGGCACCCAGGGAGAUUGAAUAUUGGGGGGUCGGUUAUUUUGGGGUUGAGGGCUCACUAGCGCUUGCCCUCAUUGCAACAGUGUACUGUGAGACCCCUAAAAAUUAGUCGAAGACCUUUUUAAAUGCCAGAAUCGGAAAGUACGCAAAAAAAAAUACUUAAGAAUAUUUAUGUAAAGCGUGUCGGUGGCAAAGGAGGGGGUCUGUAGACGACUUUCAGUGCCCAGGUUCCAGUCGGUGCGCACAAAACUUAAACUUUGAUAGCUUAUAUCUCGCGUAUCAAUCGUUUCCCUGGAAGGUAUAGUAUAUGAAAAAGUACGAAAAAUUAAGCCACAUGAAAUCGGAAUAUUAUUUUUUUCUGGUUCGAAUCGAGAAUCCGACAUUUGACUAUGUACUGGGGCUGAAAAAAAAUUGACCCCGAAGAAAGUAGGAAAAGCAUUGCAAUAUGUAUUACCGAAACGAUCGAAUUGACUGCAUAUUUCAAAAGUACGCAAUUUUUGAAGAAUUUCAGCGCUAACAGCACCUUAUUUCUUUUUUCGUUCGAAAGAUAUAGAACUCAACGGUUUUCAACUUGGCAACGCUGCUACGUGAAAUUAAAUGCAUUGAAAAUUGUGAAAAAAGGCCUUGAAAUUUUGAAAAAAGGCGUAUCCUAGAAUGAGGAAUGAUAAAUUGAAAAUUGGUCAAAAUCCAUGGGGGGGGGGGGGUAAUUGCCGAUUUUGCAUACACCUCUUUAACCGACCAUAAUACCGGUUGAGUUCAACAUUUUCGGAAGCUUUUGAUCUGAAUGUGUUAGCAAAUGCUAUAUAUGCUUCAAUGCUUUUAUAUGAACUUAGCAACUUGUAUAGAUUUUCUAGACCAGGUCUCUUUUUAUUAAAGGUUAUGGGCAUCAAAGCUGCAGGAUGAUUAUUAAAAUUGAUGGACAUAACGCCAGACGAAGGACAUACGUGUAGCGGAAUUGGAGCAAUAAUAUCGGUUUCAACGGGUAGUUGUCAUAGCAAAUGGGGGAAAAUCAUUAACUAAGAAUAGGGUCGCUCGUGGGUCGUAAUUGAUUAUCAUUAUGUACCUUAUUUGCUCAUUGCAAUCGCCUGUUUCCAUCAAAAGGAUCGCCUUAUUGUCCUUGUGUCCUCUGUAUCCAUAGCUUUGUCUAUUGAUAAAAAAAAACCGGUCCGUAGGCCCAGAUAUAUGUGACCUUGGCGCAAAAUUUUGAGUGAGGUAGUUACUGUUUAAUAGAUCCAGUUUUGACUUUCUUUUCUACUCCCAUUUGAGUAAAGUAAAAUUUUCCGUUACGUAAUGAGGCACCUGAUCAAAAAUUCAUUUUAUGUCGCAUGCAUCGCUUUUAAUAAUGCCAAUUGUAAUUAUCAUUAUCGAAGACCAGUUUAGUUAAUUUUCAAUGUCCGAAAUGUAUGAGACCAAAAACGACUUAAGAAUACUUAAAUAUUUAUUAAUUUAUGCACAUGUGCAACAAUAAAUCUUCAUGAAGCUCUAAAAGAAAUCAAUAUUGUAUGAAUUGUUUGUUAAAUUAAUGUUCUUUCAAGAUGCGAUUAUAACAUUUCUACGUGUGCAUAUUGGCUUCAUUCAAUAUUUCUGUCAUUUUACAAAUUAUUCAUGCGGUAGUCAGGAUUGAAAAAGGUCCGUCUUAGCUUCCCUCCCAUUGAUCUUGGCCGGAAAUUUGAUGAAAACUUCGCAUCUUUCCACUUUUUCUUCAAUAUAUUUCACACGCAACAAUGCUCUUUCUCUACUUUGCUUUUCUUUUUAUUCUUAUUUCGAAGUACAUGCUCUGCAAGUUUCAUGUUUUGCAAGAUAAGAAAGUCCAACGCUUUGGUAUAUUAAUUAACUGAAUGUGUCAUGUCUGUGGAAUCCGAAAAAAUGCAUUGCCAAGUCAAAUAUUGCAUUUAUCUUAUGGAACUUGGAAGUUCCAGACUUUUCCGUUCUUCAAUAAGAAAAAGUCCGUUUAGAUCAACAAAAAUAACAACUCGCAAAAAAACGUCGGUACAUGUAUAGCAAGAGUCAUUUUUCCACUCACCUAAGCAAGGGUAUUGCAUCGGAAGAGGCGUUUCUCUAUUCGUAAAAUUUAACAUUUAAUAUCGUGCAUAGAUUUUGAUUAUCCAUUGUUUUAAAAAUUCUAGGUUCAUAAAUCCUUAAAAAUCCAUCUAUAACGUGAUUAGAUCUAUCUUAGUACCAGCUUGUUCCUGUACGGCGAGUUGGAGAUCUGACAUAGCAUAUUUCUACAGGCAUAAUGUUAGUUCUUGAAGAUUCCGAAGGUACCAUGACAGGCAAAUACAACAAUUUUGGAUAAUAAUAUGAAUUGUUUUAAGAUAAUACAUUAUUAAUUGUUUUUAAAAAAGUAAUUUUAAAUAAAAUGGGAUUUUUUUUAAAGUCCUUGACCACUUAGACUUUUACAAUUUGCUCUUAGAGUAAAAAUAGGAUCUCAGAAUGCUGUAAGACAUAGGUAGUGUAGGUAAAAUGAAUUGUCCAACUGAAAUUCUCAUUUUUGGGAGAAAAAAGGAUUCAAGUAUGAUAUUCCUUCUUUGAAAAAGACAAAGAGAGAACCUUUACAUUUUGGUAUAUUGGCAAUGGUGGAACUUUACUUUCGGGACUUAACAUUCAGCUGUUUACCUAUCUACUAGGUGCAUGCUCAACAACGCAUUGAGUAUAUUAUUUUGAAAACAAACCGAAGUUUGGUAAACCUCUUUGGUUCAUGACGUCACCUGAAGCCCAUCACCCACUUGGUAGGUAAGAUGACUGUUGCUCUCUAAAAAUUGUCCCCUAGAAAGUGUUGAAUCCCCGCAAGUCAAUUUUUCCACGUUUAACCAAGAGGCCAAUGGAGGACCUCUCUUUGUCUCUGGAGAAUCUGCAACACCAGUAACGACUGGUCAGGAAGGCAACUGCGAACGCGUUUCAGAUCAAGUUGGAUUAAUCCCUACCACUUGUCUAAAAACGACUCAAACAUCAAUACGCAUAUUUUUUGUACCAAAAUGAAUGAAUUUAGGCUAAGUCGGAAUAAAUUUAACACAAGAACUUUCCACUAAAAGACAAGGGGUAUUUAACAAACUUCUGCUAAAGAGCAAAAAUGAAAGUAUCUCUUUUAGAAAAUCACUCAAAACUUAUGAUGAAUUUAAAUUAUCUCGAGCCGCAGUCUGCCACACUUAUUCUGGUGAUGGUGCUACAGACCUGAUAGGGAACUAAUCUAAAGAAAUUAGGACUUAAAAUUUAGACUUAAGCUUGACCUUAAGAAUUAGAAUUAAGGAACUUUUUCAAUCUCUUGUUCUUAACCUUGAAAAUAUAAUUUUCUGUGAGCCCACACACACAACGCUUCAUACAAAAUAUACACUUAUCCCAUUAAAAAUGAAACGCAAAAAUAGCCGGAAUAAUUCAACUAAAAAACACAAGAAAACGAGUAAUCAAGGAUAAAAAAAGCAAUAAGCACAGAACCUAGGACGAUUUGAGAGGGGAGGAUAUUUAUAAAUAUAUAUUUGUUUCUGGUCUAUAGGUGGGUUGAAACCGCCCGAAAACGUCCAAGGCUUUUUGUUUGUUGUUAUUUAGCCUUGGUCACCCAUUUUCUUAAGUCUUUUACUGGACCCAUUAAUAUAUAUAAAAUACAUAAUAUGCAUAAAUAAUAAAGACAUAUCAGAGACUAAUGACUUAUUUAGGUGAGAGAUACAUUUGGUAUAGAUUAUUACAUCACUAACUCCACUCUUUUUAGAGGGAAUGAAUAAAGUAUAAGCAAUUACGCUUUCAUAUUUUCUUUGAAAAGAAUAUAUUUUUCGUUUUUUUAGCUCCUCAAAGAAAAUGGAUUCGAAACUUUUUAAUUUUUUACAACUUUGAAGUAAAUUGCCGAGCCAAUUAAGAAAGUUCUA